GUAUCAUGGCUCAGGAUGAACGCUAGCUACAGGCUUAACACAUGCAAGUCGAGGGGCAUCAGUUUGGUUUGCUUGCAAACCAAAGCUGGCGACCGGCGCACGGGUGAGUAACACGUAUCCAACCUGCCUCAUACUCGGGGAUAGCCUUUCGAAAGAAAGAUUAAUAUCCGAUAGCAUAUAUUUCCCGCAUGGGUUUUAUAUUAAAGAAAUUCGGUAUGAGAUUGGGAUGCGUUCCAUUAGUUUGG
rnacentral:rRNA from 1 species